rnacentral:rRNA from 1 species
AUUGAACGCUGGCGGCAGGCCUAACACAUGCAAGUCGAACGGUAACAGGAAACAGCUUGCUGUUUCGCUGACGAGUGGCGGCCGGGUGAGUAAUGUCUGGGAAACUGCCUGAUGGAGGGGGAUAACUACUGGAAACGGUAGCUAAUACCGCAUAACGUCGCAAGACCAAAGAGGGGGACCCUCGGGCCUCUUGCCAUCGGAUGUGCCCAGAUGGGAUUAGCUUGUUGGUGGGGUAACGGCUCACCAAGGCGACGAUCCCUAGCUGGUCUGAGAGGAUGACCAGCCACACGGGAACUGAGACACGGUCCAGACUCCUACGGGAGGCAGCAGUGGGGAAUAUUGCACAAUGGGCGCAAGCCUGAUGCAGCCAUGCCGCGUGUAUGAAGAAGGCCUUCGGGUUGUAAAGUACUUUCAGCGGGGAGGAAGGGAGUAAAGUUAAUACCUUUGCUCAUUGACGUUACCCGCAGAAGAAGCACCGGCUAACUCCGUG